rnacentral:rRNA from 1 species
UUAAGUUAUUAAGGGCGCACGGUGGAUGCCUUGGCACUAGAAGCCGAUGAAGGACGUUACUAACGACGAUAUGCUUUGGGGAGCUGUAAGUAAGCUUUGAUCCAGAGAUUUCCGAAUGGGGAAACCCAACAUGAGUUAUGUCAUGUUAUCGAUAUGUGAAUACAUAGCAUAUCAGAAGGCACACCCGGAGAACUGAAACAUCUUAGUACCCGGAGGAAGAGAAAGAAAAAUCGAUUCCCUUAGUAGCGGCGAGCGAAACGGGAAGAGCCCAAACCAACAAGCUUGCUUGUUGGGGUUGUAGGACACUCUAUACGGAGUUACAAAGGACGACAUUAGACGAAUCAUCUGGAAAGAUGAAUCAAAGAAGGUAAUAAUCCUGUAGUCGAAAAUGUUGUCUCUCUUGAGUGGAUCCUGAGUACGACGGAGCACGUGAAAUUCCGUCGGAAUCUGGGAGGACCAUCUCCUAAGGCUAAAUACUCUCUAGUGACCGAUAGUGAACCAGUACCGUGAGGGAAAGGUGAAAAGCACCCCGGAAGGGGAGUGAAAUAGAACCUGAAACCGUGUGCUUACAAGUAGUCAGAGCCCGUUAAUGGGUGAUGGCGUGCCUUUUGUAGAAUGAACCGGCGAGUUACGAUUUGAUGCAAGGUUAAGCAGUAAAUGUGGAGCCGUAGCGAAAGCGAGUCUGAAUAGGGCGUUUAGUAUUUGGUCGUAGACCCGAAACCAGGUGAUCUACCCUUGGUCAGGUUGAAGUUCAGGUAACACUGAAUGGAGGACCGAACCGACUUACGUUGAAAAGUGAGCGGAUGAACUGAGGGUAGCGGAGAAAUUCCAAUCGAACCUGGAGAUAGCUGGUUCUCUCCGAAAUAGCUUUAGGGCUAGCCUCAAGUGAUGAUUAUUGGAGGUAGAGCACUGUUUGGACGAGGGGCCCCUCUCGGGUUACCGAAUUCAGACAAACUCCGAAUGCCAAUUAAUUUAACUUGGGAGUCAGAACAUGGGUGAUAAGGUCUGUGUUCGAAAGGGAAACAGCCCAGACCACCAGCUAAGGUCCCAAAAUAUAUGUUAAGUGGAAAAGGAUGUGGCGUUGCCCAGACAACUAGGAUGUUGGCUUAGAAGCAGCCAUCAUUUAAAGAGUGCGUAAUAGCUCACUAGUCGAGUGACACUGCGCCGAAAAUGUACCGGGGCUAAACAUAUUACCGAAGCUGUGGAUUGUCCUUUGGACAAUGGUAGGAGAGCGUUCUAAGGGCGUUGAAGCAUGAUCGUAAGGACAUGUGGAGCGCUUAGAAGUGAGAAUGCCGGUGUGAGUAGCGAAAGACGGGUGAGAAUCCCGUCCACCGAUUGACUAAGGUUUCCAGAGGAAGGCUCGUCCGCUCUGGGUUAGUCGGGUCCUAAGCUGAGGCCGACAGGCGUAGGCGAUGGAUAACAGGUUGAUAUUCCUGUACCACCUAUAAUCGUUUUAAUCGAUGGGGGGACGCAGUAGGAUAGGCGAAGCGUGCGAUUGGAUUGCACGUCUAAGCAGUAAGGCUGAGUAUUAGGCAAAUCCGGUACUCGUUAAGGCUAAGCUGUGAUGGGGAGAAGACAUUGUGUCUUCGAGUCGUUGAUUUCACACUGCCGAGAAAAGCCUCUAGAUAGAAAAUAGGUGCCCGUACCGCAAACCGACACAGGUAGUCAAGAUGAGAAUUCUAAGGUGAGCGAGCGAACUCUCGUUAAGGAACUCGGCAAAAUGACCCCGUAACUUCGGGAGAAGGGGUGCUCUUUAGGGUUAACGCCCAGAAGAGCCGCAGUGAAUAGGCCCAAGCGACUGUUUAUCAAAAACACAGGUCUCUGCUAAACCGUAAGGUGAUGUAUAGGGGCUGACGCCUGCCCGGUGCUGGAAGGUUAAGAGGAGUGGUUAGCUUCUGCGAAGCUACGAAUCGAAGCCCCAGUAAACGGCGGCCGUAACUAUAACGGUCCUAAGGUAGCGAAAUUCCUUGUCGGGUAAGUUCCGACCCGCACGAAAGGCGUAACGAUUUGGGCACUGUCUCAACGAGAGACUCGGUGAAAUCAUAGUACCUGUGAAGAUGCAGGUUACCCGCGACAGGACGGAAAGACCCCGUGGAGCUUUACUGUAGCCUGAUAUUGAAAUUCGGCACAGCUUGUACAGGAUAGGUAGGAGCCUUUGAAACGUGAGCGCUAGCUUACGUGGAGGCGCUGGUGGGAUACUACCCUAGCUGUGUUGGCUUUCUAACCCGCACCACUCAUCGUGGUGGGAGACAGUGUCAGGCGGGCAGUUUGACUGGGGCGGUCGCCUCCUAAAAGGUAACGGAGGCGCUCAAAGGUUCCCUCAGAAUGGUUGGAAAUCAUUCAUAGAGUGUAAAGGCAUAAGGGAGCUUGACUGCGAGACCUACAAGUCGAGCAGGGUCGAAAGACGGACUUAGUGAUCCGGUGGUUCCGCAUGGAAGGGCCAUCGCUCAACGGAUAAAAGCUACCCCGGGGAUAACAGGCUUAUCUCCCCCAAGAGUUCACAUCGACGGGGAGGUUUGGCACCUCGAUGUCGGCUCAUCGCAUCCUGGGGCUGUAGUCGGUCCCAAGGGUUGGGCUGUUCGCCCAUUAAAGCGGUACGCGAGCUGGGUUCAGAACGUCGUGAGACAGUUCGGUCCCUAUCCGUCGUGGGCGUAGGAAAUUUGAGAGGAGCUGUCCUUAGUACGAGAGGACCGGGAUGGACAUACCUCUGGUGUACCAGUUGUCGUGCCAACGGCAUAGCUGGGUAGCUAUGUGUGGACGGGAUAAGUGCUGAAAGCAUCUAAGCAUGAAGCCCCCCCUCAAGAUGAGAUUUCCCAACUUCGGUUAUAAGAUCCCUCAAAGAUGAUGAGGUUAAUAGGUUCGAGGUGGAAGCAUGGUGACAUGUGGAGCUGACGAAUACUAAUCGAUCGAAGACUUAAUCAA